AGCAGUCGCCACGGGAAUACGUAGGGCGCAAGCGUUAUCCGGAAUUAUUGGGCGUAAAGAGCUCGUAGGCGGUUUGUCGCGUCUGCCGUGAAAGUCCGGGGCUCAACCCCGGAUCUGCGGUGGGUACGGGCAGACUAGAGUGAUGUAGGGGAGACUGGAAUUCCUGGUGUAGCGGUGAAAUGCGCAGAUAUCAGGAGGAACACCGAUGGCGAAGGCAGGUCUCUGGGCAUUAACUGACGCUGAGGAGCGAAAGCAUGGGGAGCGAACAGGAUUAGAUACCCCUGUAGUCCCUGUCUCUUAUAC
rnacentral:rRNA from 1 species